rnacentral:misc_RNA from 1 species
GACGCUCCAUUACUGAACUGUUUGUGUAGUACCGGCAGUGUAGGCAAUGUGACAAACGCCAUAUUGUUAUUGUACAGAAAAAAGUGUAAUAAUAAAGUGUUCAUAUAUAAAUAUACGUGUUCAUAUAUUGUAAAAAAACUACACAUUUAUUGAAAAAUUUUGAGAAAUUAAGCAACGAAAUCAAAAUCAUUCGUGAAAAGGUUGCAUGUGUGUUACCUGGUUAGACCUGUUCCUACAUCUAUGGAGUUUCACUUAGACAGUGCAGAAUACUGCCAGGCACAGCACAAAUAAAAAGUAAAAGAGUUUGCAAAAUCUCUAAAGAAACGCAAAAAGGACCAGAGUUGGUACCACUUGAGAGCGUGUUGUCCAGCUGGGAGACAGUCUGACAGGAGAUAGCGUGGAACGCCAGAGAGAGCGAGUGAGAGAGGGAGAGAGAGUAAACAAACGAGAUACUGUUUGAAAAAAAAAAUAUAAUAAUUUUUUUAAACAGAUUUUGAACAGCUUAACUGCUUUCUCUAAUUGGAACCCAAAGAAGGUGUUGCUGAAGCAGUGGAAUAGAAGAGAACAGCGCGCAUAUCAGAAGAAUUGCUACAUAGUUUUGGUUUUUAGCUAAAAAUAAAAAAACAAAAACGUAAACGCAACGAAAAGCAAAAAUAAAAAUAAAAAUAAAAGUAAAAAUUAAAACAACAAAGCCUAAAUAACAGCACAUUUAAUCGAAAAUAAAUUUUCGUAAAUAAAAAAAUCGUUGGAAAUUUUAAAACGAGGAAUUAAACAAAAGCAAACAUCAACAGGGAUACAAGCAAAGCAAAGCGAAGCAGUAAAGCAAACAGGUUUUGUGCAAGCAAAUAAAAA